AGCGAAGUGGCUCAAUGGGUAAUCAGGUCUGCGGGUUAGUGGGGCAGUGGUUUAGUGGAUUAGUGGUACAGUAGUUUGAUGGUGCAGUGGUAUAGUGGUGCAGUGCAAUUAGCAAGCGGAAUCGCAAUAUGAGUUAGGCUCCUAGUAUAUCGGCAAGAAACUAAGUCUGUGAAAGCGCUUCCAGCACCGUGUGCAAAGAUUUCAACUUAUUUUCUUGAAUUGGAUUUUUUCCUCCUCUUCAAACGCUUCAUACUAACUUCCUAAUUGACAAGAGACAGGGUCAGAGCGGAAGCUACUUUCAGCGUAUUAAUCAUCCCGAACUUUUGUAAGUGGCUGUUUAUCCGCAAAGCGGAAUUAGGCCAAUCAACCUGCAACAACAACAACAGAUCGGCAAAAAACGAGCAUAAUGAAAGCUGUUCAUUUAUCUACUUCAGCUGUUCUAUUUCAAUUUUUACUAUUGUCCACCAAGUCCUACCAUAGAGGAAAAUCUGUGAUUUAAAGGUACCAAUAUAGGUGAAUCACGGUGGUGUCCAUUAAUUUGAAUGAUGAAGGUACUCGCCUUAUU